CGGUGGCUCACUCCUGGAAUCCCAGCACUUUGGGAGCCCGAGGUGGGCGGAUCACGAGGUCAGGAGAUCGAGACUGUUCUGGCUAAACCAGUGAAACCCCCUCUCUACUAAAAAAAUAACAAAAGCGAAGUGGAUCUCCCAUAAACGAGGUACUGCAGGAAGAAAGCAGAAAAUGAGACCCGAGUACACACAUGCACGCGGGCGUGCGCACACACACACCAGAAGAAAUGAACCAAGAGGAAAGGAAAUAUUUUCAAGUAAGCAUUUGGAGAUGGGAAAAACACCUUGAAACAGAAAUUCAUAAAGUACAGACAUGUUUUUUUUUUUAAGUUAAAAGAGGAACAAUAAUAAACAGGCAGAAAAUGAAUAAAAAAUAAAAUGUCAUAUCAGAAGUGAAGAUAAAUUAAAAGUGAUCAAAGGAGAAGAGAUCUAAAUGCAAACUUAAGAAGGGGCAAUUUUUUUUUUUUUUUUUUUUUUUUGAGACGCAGCCUCACUCUGCCGCCCGGGCUCGCAGCCUCACUCUGUUGCCCGGGCUGGAGUGCAGUGGCGUGAUCUUGGCUCACUGACACCUCUGCCUCCUGGAGUCAAGCGAUUCUCCUGCCUCAGCCUCCCAAGUGGCUGGGAUUACAGGCAUGAGCCACCAUGCCCGGCCUAGAGUCAACAUGGAAAUUAAACAACCUGCUUCCAAAUGACUUUUGGGUAAAGACUGAAAUUAAGGCAGAAAUAAAAAAAUUAUUUGAAACUAAUGAAAACAAACAUACAACAUCCCAGAAUCUCUGGGACACAGCUAGAACAGUGCUCAAAGGAAGUUUAUAGUGCUAAGUGGCUACAUCAAGAAGCUAGAAAGAUCUCAAAUGAACAGCCUAACAUCACACCUAGAGGAAUUAGAAAAACAAGAGCAAAUCAACCCCAAAGCUAGCAGAAGAAAAAAAAACACCAAAAUCAGAGCUGAGCUGAAUGAAAUUGAGAUGUAAAAAAUCAUAGAAAAGAUCAAUGAAACCCAAAGUUGAUUUUUUAAAAAAAUUAUUUAUUUAUUAUUUCUUCCAUAAAUUAUGGGGUACAGGUGGUAUUUGGUAACAUAAGCUCUUUAGUGGUGAUUUGUGAUUUUGGUGCACCCAUCACCUGAGCAGUAUACACUACACCCUAUUUGUUGUCUGUUAUCCCUCGCCCCCGCCAACUCGUCCCCCUACGUCCCCAAAGUCCAUUGUAUCAUUGUUACGCCUUUGCGUCCUCAUAGCUUAGCUCCCACAUAUCAGUGAGAACAUACGAUGUUUGGCUUUCCAUUCCUGAGUUACUUCACUUAGAAUAAUAGUCUCCGGUCUCAUCCAGGUCACGGCAAAUGCUGUUAAUUCAUACAAAGUUGAUAUUUUCGAAAGCACAAAUAACAUGGAAAGACCACUAGCUAGAUUAAUAAAGGAAAAAAGACAAGAUCCAAAUAAACACAAUCAGAAAUGACAGAGGUGACAUUACCACUGACCCACAGACAUACAAGAAACCCUGAGACUAUUCCACAUGCCUCUAUGCACACAAACUAGAAAACUAGAAGAAAUAGAUAAAUUCCUGGAAACAUAAAACCUCUCAAGAUUGAACCAGGAAGAAAUGGAAACCCUGAACAAACCAACGAUGAGUUCCAAAAUUGAGUUAGUCAUACAAGACCUACCAACCAGCACAAAAAACCUUAGACUAGACGGAUUCACAGUCGAAUUCUACCAGAUGUGUAAAGAAAAGCCGGCACCAAUCCUACUGAAAUUAUUCCACACAAUUGAGGAGGAGCAACUGCUCUCUAACUCAUUCUAUGAAGUCAGAGUCAUUCUGAUACCGAAACCUGGCAGAGACACAACGAAAAAAGGAAAAUAGGUAAAGUAAUACAUAUGUUAAUGAUCUUGAUUUAGCCAUUCUACGGUAUAUACAUAUUUCAAAACAAUAUGUACAUGAUAAAUAUGUACAAUUUGUCAAUUAAAAAUAUAUAAAAGGAAGAGGAAAAAAUUCAACUGGCGCAGAAUUUGAAAGGAGAAGAUACAGAACAAACUCCAGUCUCUUCUUUAUUCAACUAUAUAUACACACAUUCAAUGGACCAGGAGCAGUGGCUCAAGCCUGUAAUCACAGCACUUUGGGAGGUCAAGGCGGGCAGAUCACCUGAGGUCGGGAGUUCGAGACCAGCCUGACCAACAGAGAGAAACCCCAGCUCUACUAAAAAUACAAAAUUAGCCGGGCAUGGUGACGCAUGCCUGUAAUCCCAGCUACUCGGGAGGGUGAGGCAGGAGAAUCGCUUGAACUCAAGAGGUGGAGGUUGUGGUGAGCCGAGAUGGCACCAUUGCACUCCAGCCUGG
rnacentral:lncRNA from 1 species